AGACAUAUGCUCUCUAGUAAAGCGAGCAUCACUUAAGGAUUCAACCCCUCUGAAGAAUUGAAUGUUUAUCAUCAGGUGGAUAAUGAAUGCCUUAAGUUUGACAAGAUGAACAGAAGACAAUAUAAAGGACAUCAGUUCUGCUAUAGCACUGGUGAUAGAAGGUUCCAUCCAUGAGUUAUGUAUUACAGCAUUAUUCGGCAUGGGAUCUGCUUCCACUAUUGAAACGACUCGUUUUUUCAUUUUACUUUUCAGGACCUUCUGAAAUUUUUGCCUAGUGAAUGCAUAAAGUAGAGGGUGAAAUAUGGUUGUUCCGUAUGCCAUA